ACAGCUGUACAAUACAUAGAAAAAUAACAUACAGCCCCAGGCAGUUUUCAGCACGAUUUUUACACAAACACAUACGUAUAUAUAGCGGGUAAUUUUUGACCUCCACAAAAACAUAGGCGUGGCAUGCAGUGCAGGCAAUGAAGUUGCAAUGAAAUUUUUUACCACAAAAUAAUCAUUGUUUCGAGUUGAACGAAUUUUGUACCCCACAAAAAUUUGUUAGAGAUACACUUUUCCUACACUUUUCCUAUAUUUGGCCUCUUGUCAAGUAGAGUAUAGUAUCACACUUUUUUCACUCAUUCUUUGUCGUCACGACUAGUGUGUAAAUUGGUUGUUUUGUUGUUAGUAUCAUAUAGCGGGAUAUGCAUGAGUGUGUUAUUUUAAUUUUCAUACUGUAGGAUCAUCUGCUCAACCAGUGAGUACAGCUCUUCAACAGCUGAUGGACACAUGUCCGCUCACUACUGCCCAAGUCAACAGGGAAAUCCAGCAAGAAGACGUAUCAUAUUUGGCUCCCUGUUUCGAUAAUGUGGAGCUCUAUGUCGAUGCUAUGAAAUUAACCCCUGGCGAGCAAAGUAAUGUCCAGUUGAAAAAAAAUGAGAGUAACCACCUAGCUAUGAUUGAGUGUUUGAAAAUCUGGAGAGGAAAACAGCGCUCACAAGCAACAUUCAGGGCCCUUCUGGAGAUGUUAGUAAAACUGAGAAAAGGGGAGAUUGCUGACCUAGUCUGCCAGUACUUGAAAGAGCUGUGAGAAGGUGCACGUAAUACAGCACUCCAUAUCGACUGUAGAUAUAUCAGAACAGAACUCUUAGAUUAGCUUUAUCCCUAAUGUGUGGUUAUUAUUGUGUACGUGUGUUUUGUACAUUGCGUGUUGAAAAUGAAUUAUAAAAACUGUUCGAUAUCCCAUAA